rnacentral:rRNA from 1 species
UACGGAGGAUGCAAGCGUUAUCCGGAUUUAUUGGGUUUAAAGGGUGCGUAGGCUGGUAAUUAAGUCAGUGGUGAAAUACUCCGGCUCAACCGGGGGGCUGCCGUUGAUACUGGUUACCUUGAGUUUAGAUGAUGUGGGCGGAAUGUGUCAUGUAGCGGUGAAAUGCAUAGAGAUGACACAGAACACCGAUAGCGAAGGCAGCUCACAAAGCUAUUACUGACGCUGAUGCACGAAAGAGUGGGGAUCAAACAGGA